UUGACACAAGAAAUAGAGUAUGAAUCAGAGGUAACUUAUUUUUAAGAUUUGGGAGAUCUGUUCAAAAAAAAAAUCUGAGGAUCUAUAUGUAAACCCUAAGGACCUAAUCGUGAAUAUGAUAAAAACAAGGACUAAACUGCAAAAUGCACCAAAUGACAAAUUCCACCGCUUAAGCCUCUCUGCCUUCGUUGUUAAGGAAGCAGAGGAGGCAGCUCGUGGGUGAUCAGGGAAAGAAAGAAAGAAAGAAGAAGAAGAAGAAGAAGAAGAAGAAGAAGAAGAGAAAGAAAAUUGGGGCUUUUAGGGUUCUUGCUUUAAUCUUGUCAUUUCGGGUCAAGAUUUGCAAAGGAUAGCGUAUCGCUUGCUUAAAUGUUAAGAAUGGGCUGAGGCAGUGGAAAGUUUAGAAGACGUUGGGCAGAACUUUUGUUAGCAUAUAUGUAGUUGUGUAUAAGCUACCUUGCAUCUAAUGAAAUGUGACUAUGAAUCUAAACCUGUGGAUUUUGUGUAAGUUAAAGGAUCCCUCAUGUAUAGGGUUUUGGAAUGUUAAAUUAAAUUUGUGUAAUGAUAUGAACUUAUGGUAAAUCGAUGAUUGUGGUGACUGCAUAGAUUUCCCCACUUGUGGACUUA